UACGGAGGGUGCAAGCGUUAUCCGGAUUCACUGGGUUUAAAGGGUGCGUAGGCGGAUUGGUAAGUCCGUGGUGAAAUCCCCGAGCUUAACUUGGGAACUGCCGUGGAUACUAUCAGUCUUGAAUAUCGUGGAGGUAAGCGGAAUAUGUCAUGUAGCGGUGAAAUGCUUAGAUAUGACAUAGAACACCAAUUGCGAAGGCAGCUCGCUGGGACGUAACUGACGCUGAGACGCGAAAGCGUGGGGAGCAAACAGG
rnacentral:rRNA from 1 species